GGGGACGCACUGGUUUCGACGGGGUUGUAAAACCAGAAUUGCAGGUCGAGGCGCCGCUGGCCUCGUAAAAAGCGGCAACAAUGUAAUUGCAGAAAAUAACAAUUACGCACUAGCUGCUUAAUUAAGCAGCCCACCGAUGCGACGAUGUCUGAUAAUCGCAAAAGUGGACACUUUAUCAGGCUGAUUUUCCCUUUAGCUUUUGGGAGGGAAGAUGAGUAAAAACAAUCUAAAGCUGGCGUCAAGGCGUUUGUUUAGAGACAAACCUUGAGGCGAUGACCACUAAGUCUAGACUAAACCUGUAGACGUUCUGAGUGGAGCUUUCUCGGACGCGAGUUCGAUUCUCGCCGUCUCCACCA
rnacentral:tmRNA from 1 species